rnacentral:tRNA from 2 species
GCCGGUGUGGCGAAAUGGUAGACGCAAACGACUCAAAAUCGUUCGCCGAGAGGCAUGUCAGUUCGACUCUGACCACCGGCA